AUUGAACGCUGGCGGUAUGCUUAACACAUGCAAGUCGAACGGCAGCAUGGAGGAGCUUGCUCCUCUGAUGGCGAGUGGCGGACGGGUGAGUAACAUAUAGGAAUCUACCUUAUAGACUGGGAUAACUACUCGAAAGAGUGGCUAAUACCGGAUGUGGAUUGAGGUUUAAAGCAGGGGACCUUCGGGCCUUGCGCUAUAAGAUGAGCCUAUACAAGAUUAGCUAGUUGGUGGGGUAAAGGCCUACCAAGGCGACGAUCUUUAGCUGUUCUGAGAGGAUGAUCAGCCACACUGGGACUGAGACACGGCCCAGACUCCUACGGGAGGCAGCAGUAGGGAAUCUUCGGCAAUGGACGAAAGUCUGACCGAGCGACGCCGCGUGAGUGAAGAAGGUUUUCGGAUCGUAAAACUCUGUUGUUAGAGAAGAACAAGUGGGAGAGUAACUGUUCCCGCCUUGACGGUAUCUAACCAGAAAGCCACGGCUAACUACGUGCCA
rnacentral:rRNA from 1 species